AGAGUUUGAUCCUGGCUCAGAUUGAACGCUGGCGGUAGGCUUAACACAUGCAAGUCGGACGGUAGCAGGAAAUAAGUUUACUUAUUUUGCUGACGAGUGGCGGACGGGUGAGUAACGCGUGGGAAUCUACCCUAUAGUUGGGGACAACGUAUGGAAACGUACGCUAAUACCGAAUAUGCUCUACGGAGUAAAGGAGCCCUCUUCAUGAAAGGUUUCGCUAUAGGAUGAGCCCGCGUAAGAUUAGCUAGUUGGUGAGGUAAUGGCUCACCAAGGCGACGAUCUUUAGCUGGUUUGAGAGGAUGAUCAGCCACACUGGGACUGAGACACGGCCCAGACUCCUACGGGAGGCAGCAGUGGGGAAUAUUGGACAAUGGACGAAAGUCUGAUCCAGCCAUACCGCGUGUGUGAAGAAGGCCUUCGGGUUGUAAAGCACUUUCAGUUGGGAGGAAGAUUAAGUAGUUAAUACCUGCUUAGUUUGACGUUACCUUCAGAAGAAGCACCGGCUAACUCUGUGCCAGCAGCCGCGGUAAUACAGAGGGUGCAAGCGUUAUUCGGAAUUACUGGGCGUAAAGCGCGCGUAGGCGGAUUAGUAAGUCAGUUGUGAAAGCCCUGGGCUCAACCUAGGAACUGCAUCUGAUACUGCUAGUCUAGAGUUUAGUAGAGGGAAGGGGAAUUCCAGGUGUAGCAGUGAAAUGCGUAGAUAUCUGGAGGAACAUCAGUGGCGAAGGCGCCUUCCUGGACUAAAACUGACGCUGAGGUGCGAAAGCGUGGGUAGCGAACGGGAUUAGAUACCCUGGUAGUC
rnacentral:rRNA from 1 species